rnacentral:rRNA from 1 species
GACGAACGCUGGCGGCGUGCCUAAUACAUGCAAGUUGAGCGAUGAAGAUUGGUGCUUGCACCAAUUUGAAGAGCAGCGAACGGGUGCGUAACGCGUGGGGAAUCUGCCUUUGAGCGGGGGACAACAUUUGGAAACGAAUGCUAAUACCGCAUAACAACUUUAAACAUAAGUUUUAAGUUUGAAAGAUGCAAUUGCAUCACUCAAAGAUGAUCCCGCGUUGUAUUAGCUAGUUGGUGAGGUAAAGGCUCACCAAGGCGAUGAUACAUAGCCGACCUGAGAGGGUGAUCGGCCACAUUGGGACUGAGACACGGCCCAAACUCCUACGGGAGGCAGCAGUAGGGAAUCUUCGGCAAUGGACGAAAGUCUGACCGAGCAACGCCGCGUGAGUGAAGAAGGUUUUCGGAUCGUAAAACUCUGUUGGUAGAGAAGAACGUUGGUGAGAGUGGAAAGCUCAUCAAGUGACGGUAACUACCCAGAAAGGGACGGCUAACUACGUG